AGUGGUAGCUCAGUGGUUAAGACGUCGGCCUACUGAUCGGCAGGUCGCGAGUUCAAUCCCCAGCACCACUA